CCAAGGUGUCAAAAGCAACCCCGCCAGGCUUGGAAGCGAGCAGUUCUGCAGCUG
rnacentral:SRP_RNA from 1 species